CUCCCCCCACCAGUGCGAGGCUGCGGCUCCGCGCCCGCUGCGAUCCCGGACGGGGACACGCGUGGGGAAGGAGGGUUUGCGGGGGGUUUCUCGCAGCCCGGGUGUCACCGGGGGGGGGGGAGAUUUAAAAACGCGGGGUCCUCGGCUCCUCCGUGAGAGGGAGAUCUGCUCGGGGUCUGCUCGCUUUGAGCGAUGUCAAUUCUAUCCCUUAAUCCCGCAGGUUUCUCCAAAGUCUUGGGGGCAGAGUGGGGAGAGAGCGAGGCAAAGCGGCUGCCCGGGAGCCUGCGCUUACUUUAGGUGUAAAAGCUGCGCCUCCCAGUGCAGAUGGAUUUUUACAACAGUCAUUCGGAAACUUCAUGGAUCAGGUUUUAUUCCUUCUAAACCUCCCGGUCGCUGUCGCUGUGCAGCAGGAAUUGAUGUCCUUGCGCCUCGCAGAUCUGACGAGGUUUUCUCGACCUCCAGAAGCUCAGCUGUCCCCCCGAGCGGACCCACGUCCAUCAGCCACAAUCCAAAAGAGCCAAAUCCCUUCUUAAUAUAGCAAAAAAUAUCUUUAUCCCGCCCGAACGUCCUCAGCCGUGUUUAAGGCACUUAACUGCCGACACCGCUGAAACAGUUAAAGUAUUUAGGACACCGUAGAAUGGCCAAAAACUUGGGAAAAACAAGGCGGAUUGGAGAACGGUCAUCUGAGGCUGGGACUGGGAGGAUUCCCUUCUUUGAAAUCCCCAGCAGAGUUGAGAAGCAGGUACCAACCCUCCUGUUCCCAAGGACUGAGGUCAGCCACAUCCAAAUUUGCUGGGAAUUCUGUAUGUGCAUGCAGACACUUGUUUUCCCAUUAAAAAAAAAAAUAAAAAGGAGGAAAAUAUAAGUCUGUAAUUGAAGCUGCUGAGACUGCAGUUUCGGAGCAGCCCUGCUGUGA